GUUGACACCAUUUCUUCUCUCUGAAGAGCACAGAGAACAGAAGUCUUCUGAGUUCUGCUUCUGUGCCUGCUCAGGGGAUCUGAGGAAACAGGGAGAACAGAUGGGCCAAGUAGCAUGUGCAAAAGCAUCUCUGAACCCUGCAACUCACUCGACAGAAGACCUAGAAGGGACACUUCAGCUGCCACACUCCCUAAGGAACAGUUCAAUUUGCAAAGUCUCUGUCCUCAUGAAUACUAAACAAGGACCAGUACUGUACAAGAAGAGCUGAGAGCCAUUCUCUCAAGGAACAAGCCCAUUAUGAAAAGAAGCUGAAGAGAUGCCUAAUGUCUUGCAGGAUUAAAAACAGAAACAUGAAGGUUAAACCUCUCAGCAGUACCAGACUGUUCAACAAAAGAUGCAGCUGGUUAAGUACUUCUGAAAACAGGUCUGAGGAGGCGCUAAGAAUGGACUAAGGAGGCUGUAACGCAGCAAGGAGGAGUGGUCUUCAGAUGCUGAAAGGAAAGGCUGUACAUUCAAGGAGAACGACCAGCAUCAUCUUGCCUUCUAGAAAGGGUGCAUGUGAAGUGAGAGAUACUUUGCUGGAUUGGAGCAGUUCAGGAUUCCACCUGCCCUGACCCAGAGAACUGGCAGCAUCAGUCAGGAUGGCCAGAGACACAGCACGGGUGGAUUCACAGCGACAGACAGCAUCACAGAGGAGGGGCUCGGCGAGCACAGAUGGCACCAAUAACUUCCUCCACCGUGUUCAGCACAGGGAGGAAGAAACUCCCCAGUUUGGAUGAAUCCCAUCAGCAGCCCAGCUGUUCAGGAAAAGCCAUCGGGGAAAAGAAGGCGGCCGUACUCGGUGUCGAGGGAAGCAACGGCGUAAGGUAAUCAGAAGGACACGAGGCAAGAAGAAGCAGGAAUCGGAGUGGGGUCCCCAUGAGAGAGGAGAAUGAGAGAGCUGAAGCAGAUGCGUUCCCACAGAUCCUUUGCAAGGCUACGGCAGGAACAGAGCUGCUGUUUGAGAACCCUUCCAGGGCCAGUACCCGUAUCUUCACAAUCCUGAAGGAUUGCUGCACCAUCACCCAUGUAUUACAGAAAGGGAACAGAGAAAUGGAGGAGACUUAUUCAUGGUCGGAGGAGGCUGAUGUAGUGGAAAUGGCAGAAGCACAGGAACAACGUGGAAAA